GUCCACGCUGUAAACGAUGGAUGCUAGACGUGGUGGGUCUUGACCCCUGCCGUGUCGAAGUUAACACGCUAAGCAUCCCGCCUGGGGAGUACGGUCGCAAGACUAAAACUCAAAGGAAUUGACGGGGGCCCGCACAAGCAGUGGAUCAUGUGGUUUAAUUCGAAGCAACGCGAAGAACCUUACCUGGGUUUGACAUGCCUUUGAAUGUUUCUAGAGAUAGAUACAGGCUCGCAAGAGACAGAGGACACAGGUGCUGCAUGGCUGUCGU
rnacentral:rRNA from 1 species